rnacentral:sRNA from 1 species
CAGUGCACUGAAUUUAGACCCUUUGUGGGUCUUCCUUCUUUCGACAGCCUGGAGUCUCUCUUGAGUCUAAAGGCUGCCUGAGUUCCUCUCUAACAUCCUCUAGGCGAUAUCAGCUAAUCAGAUAAUGAAUUCCACGGAGGCAGCAGUGGGAACAGAAGUACCUCUCUUGGAUAAUUUAGAACACUGAGUUGCAUCCCUCUCUGUUGCCAGGCUGGAGUUCAGUGGCAUGUUCGUAGCUCACUGAAGCCUCAAAUUCCUGGGUUCAAGUGAUCCUCCCCCCUCAGCCCCAUGAGGACCUGGGACUACAGUAACAGCGGGAACAUGAAGCCGCCACUCUUGGUGUUUAUUGUGUAUCUGCUAUGGUUGAAAGACAGUCACUGUGCACCCACUUGGAAGGACAAAACUGCUAUCAGUGAAAACCUGAAGAGUUUUUCUGAGGUGGGGGAGAUAGAUGCAGAUGAAGAGGUGAAGAAGGCUUUGAUUGGUAUUAAGCAAAUGAAAAUCAUGAUGGAAAGAAAAGAGAAGGAACACACCAAUCUAAUGAGCAACCUGAAGAAAUGCAGAGAAGAAAAGCAGGAGGCCCUGAAACUUCUGAAUGAAGUUCAAGAACAUCUGGAGG